AACCAAACCAGCCAGACAGAAAGGACUUUGAUUUUACAGCACUGGCUAACCACACGUCACACAAGCAAUUCCCUUAGACACUCCAGUUUUCCCAGUAUCUCCACCAG